UCUUUCUUCCUCUGUAGGGUGGGAUCUACGUGCUGACCCUGUUAGAUAAGUACGCAGCGGGGACCUCUAUACUGUUUGCUGUUCUGAUCGAGGCCAUUGGAGUGUCAUGGUUUUACGGUGUGGACCGCUUCAGUGAAGAUAUUGAGCGGAUGAUGGGCUUCAAGCCAGGUCUUUACUGGAGGCUGUGCUGGAAGUUUGUCAGCCCAGCUUUUCUGCUGUUUGUUGUAAUAGCCAGUGCAGUGACCUCGUCAGGCCUGAAGUAUGACGACUACGUCUUCCCUUACUGGUCUAACGUAGUUGGCUGGGGCGUGGCCAUGUCCUCCAUGAUGUUUGUCCCCUGUUAUGCCAUUUAUAAAUUCCUCAGCGUAUCUGGAACAUUCAAACAGGUGAGUAUCCAAACAUGUUCGUCACACAGGGUUAAAC